ACAUAGUUCAGUUGGUAGAGCAUGGGACUCUUAAUCUCAGGGUUGUGAGUUUGAGCCCCAUGUUGGGUA